AGAGUUUGAUCCUGGCUCAGGAUGAACGCUGGCGGCGUGCUUAACACAUGCAAGUCGAACGCACCUUCGGGUGAGUGGCGGACGGGUGAGUAACGCGUGGGAAUCUGCCCUUAGGAGGGGGAUAACGGCUGGAAACGGCCGCUAAUACCCCAUAUGCCGAGAGGCGAAACGAAUUUCGCCUGAGGAUGAGCCCGCGUCUGAUUAGCUAGUUGGUGGGGUAAGAGCCCACCAAGGCGACGAUCAGUAGCUGGUCUGAGAGGAUGAUCAGCCACACUGGGACUGAGACACGGCCCAGACUCCUACGGGAGGCAGCAGUGGGGAAUUUUCCGCAAUGGGCGAAAGCCUGACGGUGCAACGCCGCGUGAGGGAUGAAGGCCUCUGGGCUGUAAACCUCUUUUCUCAAGGAAGAAGACAUGACGGUACUUGAGGAAUAAGCCACGGCUAAUUCCGUGCCAGCAGCCGCGGUAAUACGGGAGUGGCAAGCGUUAUCCGGAAUUAUUGGGCGUAAAGCGCCCGCAGGCGGCUCUGUAAGUCUGUUGUUAAAGCGUGGAGCUCAACUCCAUUUCAGCAAUGGAAACUACAGGGCUUGAGUGUGGUAGGGGCAGAGGGAAUUCCCGGUGUAGCGGUGAAAUGCGUAGAUAUCGGGAAGAACACCAGUGGCGAAGGCGCUCUGCUGGGCCAUAACUGACGCUCAUGGACGAAAGCCAGGGGAGCGAAAGGGAUUAGAUACCCCUGUAGUCCUGGCCGUAAACGAUGAACACUAGGUGUCGGGGGAAUCGACCCCCUCGGUGUCGUAGCCAACGCGUUAAGUGUUCCGCCUGGGGAGUACGCACGCAAGUGUGAAACUCAAAGGAACUGACGGGGGCCCGCACAAGCGGUGGAGUAUGUGGUUUAAUUCGAUGCAACGCGAAGAACCUUACCAGGGUUUGACAUCCUGCGAAUCCCUUGGAAACUUGGGAGUGCCUCCGGGAGCGCAGAGACAGGUGGUGCAUGGCUGUCGUCAGCUCGUGUCGUGAGAUGUUGGGUUAAGUCCCGCAACGAGCGCAACCCACGUCUUUAGUUGCCAGCAUUCAGUUGGGCACUCUAGAGAGACCGCCGGUGAUAAACCGGAGGAAGGUGUGGAUGACGUCAAGUCAUCAUGCCCCUUACAUCCUGGGCUACACACGUACUACAAUGCUACGGACAGAGGGCAGCAAGCUCGCGAGAGUUAGCAAAUCCCAUAAACCGUGGCUCAGUUCAGAUCGUAGGCUGCAACUCGCCUACGUGAAGGAGGAAUCGCUAGUAAUCGCAGGUCAGCAUACUGCGGUGAAUACGUUCCCGGGCCUUGUACACACCGCCCGUCACACCAUGGAAGUUGGCCAUGCCCGAAGUCGUUACUCCAACCCUUGUGGAGGAGGACGCCGAAGGUGGGGCUGAUGACUGGGGUGAAGCCGUAACAAGGUA
rnacentral:rRNA from 1 species